CUUGACCGACCCCAACCACAACGGCCGGCCAGGAUCACGAUCACGGCCGUAGGUGGCGAUCAGCGCCUGCGCCUC
rnacentral:antisense_RNA from 1 species